CAAGAAGUAGUUUAAUUAGAAUGUCUGCUUUGGGUGCUGACGGCGUUGGAUGUGUCCUUCCUUCUUGA
rnacentral:tRNA from 1 species